UUGCUGUCACCAGACCUGGGGACUCCGAUGGCCAGCAGUGGCUCACGAGCAGAGGCGUCUUGUGGGGUUGAGCGGGGGUUCACCUCGCCGGGUGGACAUUUCUGGGAAAGCGACUCAGUGAGGGGGCAAAGUAGAUUAGUUUUACGGGAGAGGUUCCACAGACACCAGUGUGGGCCCCCAGCAGCAGUCUGUGGCCUUCCCACCGGCACCGAAUCCAGCAGGAGCUGGCCGGGGAGGCCCCGUGGGCACACUUCUGCCCAUUUGGCUCCCAACCCGGUGCCUGAGUGGGACGCUCGCUGCUGCGGGUCGCGGAGACGGGCUCCACGUGGUGUCGGACAACAGGAACCAGAUGCGGAGGCGGGAGGCGGCGGCGCCUUGGCUUGCCCCGUAGCCCGGCCGGCCGGCCGGCUGCUACUCCGCUCCCACGACCGGAAGCCACGGCAAGCGGACUGGUCUCCCUACUGUCACAGACCUGAGUCACACCUUGGGUUCUUACCGUCAGCGUUCUGCUCUGGGUCCAGACGGACAGGUCUGGCAUUGGGUCGUGCCAGCUGCUGGCUGAGCGUCCCCUUCCUCAGGUCCGUCUUCUUGAAAAUAGGGCUAAGAUUUCACCUUUGUGAAUCAAAUGUGAAGGUGAAAUGGCAGGUUUACGACACAGCCUGGCUGAGGGCGGAUACGGAUGUGUUCACUUGCACGCUCCCUUCACCGUCCUCGGGUGGGUCCCUUCUGAGUCUCCGUUUCCUCGUCUGUAACGUGGCGAUGAUCCUAGACUCCACCUCACAGGGUCGGCGUACGGAUGAGGGUAAUGCACGUGAUGCGCUCAGUUUAGCACCAGGUUAACACUGACUGGAAGCUACUGUCACGGUAACAGCCCACGUUUAUGACUUACCCGUUGAGUCGUCCCCGCUCCCCAACUCCCAUUUUA